AGGACGAACGCUGGCGGCGUGCUUAAUACAUGCAAGUCGAACGAGGUUCACUUCGGUGGGCCUAGUGGCGAACGGGUGAGUAACACGUGAGCAACCUGCCCCGAAGACCGGGAUAACAGUGGGAAACCGCUGCUAAUACUGGAUACCCCCACCGGACCCCAUGGUCUGAUGAGGAAAUGGAUUCCGCUUCGGGAGGGGCUCGCGGCCUAUCAGCUUGUUGGUGGGUAACGCCUACCAAGGCUUCGACGGGUAGCUGGUCUGAGAGGACGAUCAGCCACACUGGGACUGAGACACGGCCCAGACUCCUACGGGAGGCAGCAGUAGGGAAUCUUGCGCAAUGGGCGAAAGCCUGACGCAGCAACGCCGCGUGAGGGAUGGAGGCCUUCGGGUUGUAAACCUCUUUCAGCAGGGACGAUUGUGACGGUACCUGCAGAAGAAGCCCCGGCAACUACGCGCCAGCAGCCGC
rnacentral:rRNA from 1 species